AUGAAUGCCUGUCCGACCCAUUUUUCUCGUAGCUGCGCCGGUGGUCCAAACGAUGCGCCCACGCGCCUGACGCGCAGCACGACGGUUAAAGCCGAGCCGCUCGCCCCUGUUCGGGGGAGCGGCUUUUUUU
rnacentral:ncRNA from 1 species